ACUUAAAUAAUAUAAAAAGUAUAAUUAACUUCCAAUUAAACAGUUUAAUGAAAAUUAAUUUAAGUA
rnacentral:tRNA from 1 species